GUGGGGAAUCUUAGACAAUGGGGGAAACCCUGAUCUAGCCAUGCCGCGUGAGCGAUGAAGGCCUUAGGGUUGUAAAGCUCUUUCAGCUGGGAAGAUAAUGACGGUACCAGCAGAAGAAGCCCCGGCUAACUCCGUGCCAGCAGCCGCGGUAAUACGGAGGGGGCUAGCGUUGUUCGGAAUUACUGGGCGUAAAGCGCGCGUAGGCGGACCAGAAAGUUGGAGGUGAAAUCCCAGGGCUCAACCUUGGAACUGCCUUCAAAACUCCUGGUCUGGAGUUCGCGAGAGGUGAGUGGAAUUCCGAGUGUAGAGGUGAAAUUCGUAGAUAUUCGGAGGAACACCAGUGGCGAAGGCGGCUCACUGGCUCGAUACUGACGCUGAGGUGCGAAAGCGUGGGGAGCAAACAGGAUUAGAAACCCGGGUAGUCC
rnacentral:rRNA from 1 species